UCCCGCUCACCCGUUCAAACUUCCCUAUCAAAACACGCCCGGCAACCUGCGUAUCAGGACUCCGACCCUUCCCCAGCCAAUCGGCUGAGGCCACAGCCAUUACCUCACCAACUGCCCCUAGACCCCUAUAAAACCUUUGUGCUUUUGAAACUCGCUGGCUCUCUCUGGCAUCUCACUGCUGCAUCAGUGCAGGCAGGAGCAGAGAGAGAGAGAGAGAGAGACAGAAUCCAAAGCAGACUCCA